rnacentral:rRNA from 1 species
AUUGAACGCUGGCGGCAGGCCUAACACAUGCAAGUCGAGCGGAUGAAGGGAGCUUGCUCCUGGAUUCAGCGGCGGACGGGUGAGUAAUGCCUAGGAAUCUGCCUGGUAGUGGGGGAUAACGUCCGGAAACGGGCGCUAAUACCGCAUACGUCCUGAGGGAGAAAGUGGGGGAGCUUCGGACCUCACGCUAUCAGAUGAGCCUAGGUCGGAUUAGCUAGUUGGUGGGGUAAAGGCCUACCAAGGCGACGAUCCGUAACUGGUCUGAGAGGAUGAUCAGUCACACUGGAACUGGGACGCGCUCCAACCUCCUACGGGAGGCAGCGGUGGGGAUUCUUGGGCAAUGGGCGAAAGCCUGUUCUGGCCAUGCCGCGUGUGUGAAGAAGGUCUUCGGAUUGUAAAUCAUUUUAAGUUGAGAGGAAGGGAACUAAGUUAACCCCUUGCUUUUUUGCCGUACCCAACAGAUUAGGCACCGCUAACCUCCGU